rnacentral:rRNA from 1 species
GCCUGAUGCAGCAACGCCGCGUGAGGGAUGACGGCCUUCGGGUUGUAAACCUCUUUUAGCAGGGAAGAAGCGAAAGUGACGGUACCUGCAGAAAAAGCGCCGGCUAACUACGUGCCAGCAGCCGCGGUAAUACGUAGGGCGCAAGCGUUAUCCGGAAUUAUUGGGCGUAAAGAGCUCGUAGGCGGUUUGUCGCGUCUGCUGUGAAAUCCGGAGGCUCAACCUCCGGCCUGCAGUGGGUACGGGCAGACUAGAGUGCGGUAGGGGAGAUUGGAAUUCCUGGUGUAGCGGUGGAAUGCGCAGAUAUCAGGAGGAACACCGAUGGCGAAGGCAGAUCUCUGGGCCGUAACUGACGCUGAGGAGCGAAAGGGUGGGGAGCAAACAGGCUUAGAUACCCUGGUAGUCCACCCCGUAAACGUUGGGAACUAGUUGUGGGGUCCAUUCCACGGAUUCCGUGACGCAGCUAACGCAUUAAGUUCCCCGCCUGGGGAGUACGGCCGCAAGGCUAAAACUCAAAGGAAUUGACGGGGACCCGCACAAGCGGCGGAGCAUGCGGAUUAAUUCGAUGCAACGCGAAGAACCUUACCAAGGCUUGACAUAUACGAGAACGGGCCAGAAAUGGUCAACUCUUUGGACA